CUGAGUGAGGGAAAGCAGAGCUGCCCAAUGUGAGUGGCACAAUAGGUGAGUUAAAUGUGGCUGCAGUUAAAGCAGCAGGUGGUGGAGGCUUGGAUUCCCGUGCCUACAGGAUAACCGUGACAGCAAUUCUGAAAACAUCAGUUGUUGCUUCACCACUUUUAUUUCAUUAGAAAUGGGAAAUCACUGCGCGUUUCCCUCCGUGUUGCAUUUGAUGCAAACACAGGAGUAAGGCAGCGUCCCAAACGCUGCAUGUUCAGGAAAUGCAACGUCAGUGCCCUGGUGCUGCACCGCCUGUAUGUGAUGUGCAGAGGGCGAAGGAGGCUGCGGGCCCUUUCCUCGGGGCCGGCUCCUCUGUGCCCUGUUGCUGGCCGCAGAGAAGGGCUGCCCGCUGGGCACAGGGAGCGCCUUCUCGCCGCCGUCCCGUGCCCUGCAGCCCCCUCCUCAUCCCGUGCGGAACGCCGCUCCCAGCAGCACAGGUGCCAUUGUGGAACCUUCCCCAUGUCACAGCCGUCACCUUGGUCACUGCCGCCCCACCCGGCGCACUCGUCUCUGAGAGUGCUGGGCAGGUGGCAGCCAUGUCCAGCACGAAGAGAGCGAGAGCGGAGGAGGAGAGAGCGGUUUUAAAUGGGAAGAGGGAGCUGGGGGCCCCAGAACCAAAGAGGAGGAGGGGGCCCACCAUGACCAUCAGGCAGAGGAGGGAGAGGAGGAAGGGAGCCCGGUUCCAUCGCGCCCGGGCCAGCGCUGUGAGCGACCAUGGGGAGCCCAUGGAGGUGGAUCCGCCUCCAGAGGAGCCCAUGGAGGUGGAUCCGCCUCCAGAGGAACCCAUGGAGGUGGAUCCGCCUGCGGCACAGCUGGCCUGGCACCACACCACCGUGCCAGGCCCUGUGUUGGCGCGCUCACAGCUCCGCCAUCGCUGGUCCGGGCGCUCGGCCCCUUACCCUCUGCGCGGCCCCCGCCCCCGGCAUUAGCUGGGUGGCAUUGCUAACAUCUGCUCCUCCUCCACCUUGUUGCUCCUCUGCGGUUCUGCGGGCCCCCAGUUCCAUCUUCCCCCCGUAGGAGUUAGGCUUUGUUCUGGGUUUUGUUGUUGAUUUUAGUGUUAGCUUAGUUUUAGUGUUGAGUUCAGUUUUAGCGUUAGGCAUAGGUUACUGUUAGGAGCUUAGAGUUAGGCAUAGGUUACUGUUAGGAGCUUAGAGUUAGGCAUAGGUUACUGUUAGGAGCUUAGAGUUAGGCAUAGGUUACUGUUAGGAGUGUAGAGUUAGGCAUAGGUUACUGUUAGGAGCUUAGAGUUAGGCAUAGGUUACUGUUAGGAGUGUAGAGUUAGGCAUAGGUUGCUGCUGCCAGCUGGCAGUAAAUGCUGCUCACUCGGUAAGCCCUCCCCUAAUUUAUCCUGCAGAGAAAUGAGUGCGACUGCCCUGAGAAGGGAGGUUUGAUGGCGUCUGCAAUGAAUUGAAUUUCCGUCUUGUGACUUUUCUGUUGCAGAACAUCGAGGCAUGUGAGUGGCUGAGAAAUGGAGUUGGGACUCAGGGGAGCAAUGGAGCAAUGGGUCACAACCUUCCUGAGCGGCCCUUGCAAGCUCCUGCUCCCCACGCCUGCAAGUGGAGCAAUGCUCAAGUUUGAGGAAUCGUUUCCUUGGCAGGUGGAAGACAUGGCACAGCUGCAGGUUUUGUGUCCUUCUUUGUUAUUGGAAAGCAGCAUCCUUGAGAGCAGGAGAGCAGCAGGCUGCCUGCUGUGUGGCUGCUGAAGGGCAUUUCUCCCAGCUGAGAUCUCUGAGCCCACGCUGGCGGAGAACGUGCUGUGCCACCAUCUCUUCUGUGGAGCCACUUUGCAGCUGCUCUGUGCGCUGGCUGUAAUCGUGCCAGUUUCCAGGUGCCAUAAGGCAGACUGGCACAGUCUUGGGACUCGGUCUGGCGAGACAGUGAAGAAAGCCAUGGCAAGUGCUGCUCUGCUG